GGGAGGAGGCGGAGGAGGAGACUGCAGGCGCUGUGGGGCGAGAUGGAGGAGGAGCGCCUCGCCACGGCAAGCGCCGCCAGCAAUGCCAUGGCCAUGAUGCAGUGCCUGCAGAAGGAGAAGGUCGAGGUCUAGAUGGAGCUCGACGCCGAGAUCGACCACUGGGACUCGCCGCUAUCGGUCACCAGCGAUGACCUUAGGCCCUUACCAUGGCUAGGGUUUCGGGCGCCUCCACACUGGCGUGGCUCCCGCGCCUCCAGCGGCUCCUCUCCGACGCCCACCGCGCCCUCACACGCAGCUCCCAUCUCUAGGAAGCUGCUCCUUCGCCUGGUGCCCAUGUGCGGCUCCUCUCCGACGCCCACCGCGCCCUCACACGCAGCUCCCAUCUCUAGGAAGCUGCUCCUUCGCCUGGUGCCCAUGUGAUGUGCAGGGCAAGGAUUGGAUGCUUGAGGAAGGAGGGGUCGACCUUGCCUUGCUGCAACUCGGGGCGCACCACCCAUGGCGCUUCCUCCUUUCUGUCUUCAGUUGAGUUCACCUCCUCCUCUCUCUGCUCUUGUACGUGGCCAUUGAGGCAUUGCUCUUGGUUAGGAUUUACCACAGUUUGGGCUCAAUUGGCUACUAUUUGAGGUCAAUUUUGUUGAUACUGUUAAGUGUAGAUUGUUCCUUGAAUUGAACAGCAAGGUUAACCAUGAAUUUGUUAGUUGAAUUGAUGCCUGACUGAAUUGCAGUUGUUAGUUGAAUCGUUCAAUCUUCAAUUUAGGGAGCUGCUACUGAAAGAUGAAAAAAAUUUGGUACUGUUUGAGGUCCCUGUGCCUCCCGUGCUCAUGAACUUGCUUCUGUUUGAGCUCAAUUUUUUGGUACGGUUUAUGUGUUAAUUGAUCCAUGUUGUGUUGCAUCCCACCCUCCCCUUCGGUGACGGCAGCCAACGCUUGCAUCGGAGGAGCUGUUGCUGUGCUUCCUUCUCUGAUUUUUCAGGGUCAAAGUCAUUAUGUUCACCAUGAUGCAGAUUGCCAUCACAUUUAGACCCAAAGAUCUGGGAACUAUGAACUUGAUUAAAAGGGCAGGGUCAAAUUCAAGACCCGGGUUAGUGGCGACUAUGAUGGUCGCCUGCAGGCUAUGGGUCUAGCAGCGUUGCAGGCAGCAGUGUGCAGCGUUUUACAGUAGGCCGUGUGGCCAGUGCUGUCGGGCUCGCGGCGGCUGCAGAUGGUGGAGUACCGGACUUGUGGUGGGCGCCCAUUCACAAGAUCUACAACAUCAUCUUUGGGUCAGUUCUCCAUGAAGGCCAUCCUGCGAUACAAGGUUGCGUCUUCCUGCUAUUUGGAUGACGACGCCGAGCCUGUCGGCCUAUGCCCAUCGCUUCGGAUGUGGUAAUGUGGCGGUCGUUGUUGUUUGCCUGCAGAGGCUGUGGAGAGGUGGGACUUGAAGAGUAUAUGUAGCAGAAAGGAUCCAAGUAUUGGAGCCAAACAACUGUCUAUGCUACCACAUCAAGGGUAUCAUGUGCCCGCUCACCUAUUGGUGCGGCUGGUGGAUACAGAGAGAUCAACGAUGAGGAGACCCUCGUCGUUCUUCUGAUUGCAGCCAGUUGCGUGAUGUGAUGGCGGAGUUGUUCUGCAACCGCCUAGGGGCCAUCGACGAUGGAGAACUUCCUAACGCAGUAUGUGAGCGGGGACGAUGGAGAACUUCCUAGCGCAGUGUGCGCGCGAGUGGAUUUCAGGACAGUUCAUGAUACAAGGUCAAGCUCAGCUUGGUGUAAGUUCCAAAUAUAUAUUGUGCCUCAGUUUGAGUUGCAUCCACAAGCAGCUCUCACUAAUUCCAAUACACCUUAAAUUGAUUUGGAUCAUUAGUGUUGGACUGUGGACAUAUAUCUAUAUCCGAUUGUACUCCGGGUGUUUUCAAUUCUGAAAUAUUUUUUGGCAAUUUGAUUCUGAAAUUUUAGCUUGAUGUUGAGAAAACGAGCAAAUUUUGUGGUGCACUUGGAUCUGGUUUUAUGCUUACAGUUUCGAGGGGAAACAUUCGGGGUUGUGAUCCAAGUAUAUGAAAUCAGUUUAUCUAAAUUGAGUUGUCGACAGUACAUCCUCUAAAUUAGCUUAUCUGAAAUCAGUUUGUUUUUAUUAAUUGUUGCACAGGGGGCAUGAUAGCCAUGGCCAACUUUGAGCCCAGCAUCAAGUUGGAAAGCUUUAUCUGAGAUGUGUUUUUUAGCUAUGCCCUUUUAUGUCUUAGUUUGGUCUCUGAAUUUUCGGGCGGCGCUUAUCAUUUAAGAUCAACACAACAUUUUGCUUCAUUUGUGCUUCAAAGAAAGCUGCUGCAUAGGGACAUUUGAUGUGGUGGAUUUCAGAGAAUCAUUUUAGGGUAUUGCAUUUCGUUCAGAAAUUCUGACAUUUGGACAGUGUGUAUAAUUGAAAGGAAUAGCUUGAUAUGAGUUAUGU